UACGUAGGGAGCAAGCGUUGUUCGGAUUUACUGGGCGUAAAGGGCGCGUAGGCGGCAAAUUAAGUCAGCUGUGAAAUCUCCGAGCUUAACUCGGAACGGUCAGCUGAUACUGAUCUGCUAGAGUGCGGAAGAGGCGAGUGGAAUUCCUGGUGUAGCGGUGAAAUGCGCAGAUAUCAGGAGGAACACCAAUUGCGAAGGCAGCUCGCUGGGACGUAACUGACGCUGAGACGCGAAAGCGUGGGGAGCAAACAGG
rnacentral:rRNA from 1 species